CCCAUAAACCGCUUUUGGACCCAGACACAGGAAGGUUACCUCUUGACAAGGUCAAGCACAAUGGAGGCUUUCCACUUGUAUGACAUAAGCUCAAUCACCUAUAACAAAAACAUUGAGAGAAUUAUCUCUCCAAUGGUCACCCAGCUUUGUUAUUUAAUUAUCUCAAUGGAGAGGAGUGAUGGGGAGAAUGAAGUAUUUGCUGGCUUAGGGCCAAUGGCAGAGGAGUUGGCAAAAGCCAGUGAACGACUGGCAUAUUUUGCAAGAAGGUUGGCAGGAGAGUCUGAUGAAGAGAUGUUGAAAGUGGAAAUGGUACCAGCAGCUGAAUUUCUACUCUUGUCUGGGAAGAACAUAUUACUAGUAGCUCAGGAGCUCCAUAUUCACCCAGAUAAUCAGUGCCACAAGGAAGAGCUAAUUAUCACAGCUCAGAAGAUCUUGGUGGGAACAG
rnacentral:lncRNA from 1 species